rnacentral:rRNA from 1 species
GGCUCAGAUUGAACGCUGGCGGCAUGCUUUACACAUGCAAGUCGAACGGUAACAGGUCUUCGGAUGCUGACGAGUGGCGGACGGGUGAGUAAUGCGUAGGAAGCUACCCGAUAGAGGGGGAUACCAGUUGGAAACGACUGUUAAUACCGCAUAAUGUCUACGGACCAAAGUGUGGGACCUUCGGGCCACAUGCUAUCGGAUGCGCCUACGUGGGAUUAGCUAGUUGGUGAGGUAAUGGCUCACCAAGGCGACGAUCCGUAACUGGUCUGAGAGGAUGAUCAGUCACACUGGAACUGAGACACGGUCCAGACUCCUACGGGAGGCAGCAGUGGGGAAUAUUGGACAAUGGGCGAAAGCCUGAUCCAGCCAUGCCGCGUGUGUGAAGAAGGUCUUCGGAUUGUAAAGCACUUUAAGUUGGGAGGAAGGGCAGUAACCUAAUACGUUAUUGUUUUGACGUUACCGACAGAAUAAGCACCGGCUAACUUCGUG